UAAACUACGAUUAGAUACCCUAUUAUAAAAAUCGGUGUUGAUUAUCUAUAGUAGUAAUAGGUAAGGACUAGAAACUAAAAAAUCUUGGCGGUAAUUCAGACCGUUUGGAGGAAUCUGUUGCAGGAUCGAUGAGCCACGAGCAACCGUACUUUGAGUGGUAGUUUGUAUACCGUUGUCGUAAAAGGUUGUUGGGAGAUUGGAGCAUUUUAAGGCGAGGACCAAAGGAUGUCAAAUCAAGGUGCAGUUUAUAUCAAAGAGCCAAUGGGUUACAAUAAAUGAGAUUUAAAGAACGGAUCGGUUAAGGUUAAAUCGUGAAGGCGGAUUCAAAAGUAAACACAAUGCUGUUGUGUUGAGUGAGGCUCUGAAUCAUGCACACAUCGCCCGUCGCUCUUA
rnacentral:rRNA from 1 species